AAGAACGAGCAGGGGUGUCGCUUGCAGCCUUUGGUAAAACUCAUCCGCACAAAGGAGAGAGGCCGAAAAUAGGAGACACUGAGAGGAACAGAUACAUCCUGGUCGCGGCAAGAUCACAAGGCAGCGCACCCUCGUCAGCGACAGCUCCCCUCUCCCUGUAAUCCUGAGCCCCCCACCAUCUGGGUGCGCCGUCCCCUUCCAGGCACAGCCGCCGGCGACCUCUCCUUCACCAUCACCGUCUCCCCGCCCCGAUCUCCGACCUACCCACCAUCUCAAGCAGGUCCAGAUCCGCCACAGCUCCCGCAGGCACGCGCCGGCAGACCAAUCAGAUGCACGACGUGGUCUCUUCCCCCUCUUCGCCUCUGUUUGUUCGGUUUGAUUUGAUUUGUAAGGCUGAUGUUGUUUGUUCUUUUUUAUUCGAUUUGUCUACGUGUGCUAUACUCUUCCACUCUCGUGGCCACCAUUCUGCUUCCUCCCCUCCCCUGGUUCAGCAGCAGCAGCCGUAGUGACAAGCGAUUUGGAGGGAACAAGCUGAGCAAUUGCAGCCGUCCUCCUCGCCUAGGAGGAGGAGGAGGAGCUCCAUCACAUUAGCAGCAGCUCAGGCUCUGAAUUCCAGUUUUCAAUUAGGCAAGACAUGAAGCCGUGGCCAUUCAAGGUCAUCCUUGGCCCCGCCGACAAGCCCAGGAUCGCCGUCGACUACAAGGUGUACCCGUGCAAUGCUUGUUUCCUUGAAUCAGAAGGUCGAUGCAAGCAAACUGCAGUGUUUAACUGAAUGUGUUUUGAUACCAUUCUCCAAUUUGGCUAGGGAGAACAGACUGGUGCUUUUUGUGCACACUAUUCCUUCAGAACUUGUAUGUCUUUGAUCAAAUAACUUUUAUGAUAGUGGAAAA